AACAGGUCUUGUUCUGUCACCCAGGCUGGAGUGCAGUGGUGUGAUUAUACCUCACUACAGCCUCAAACUCCUGAGCUCAUAGGAUCCUUCCAUCUCAGCCUCCUGAGUAGAUGUUUACAGCUGACAUGCAAAUUUCAGUUGUCCUCCCACCAACAGGACCACUGAACAACUGUUAAUAUUGCAAGUGGAAGCAACAUCCAGAGGGAAUUCAACAUCAUUAGCUGCAUGGAGCAGAGCGUGGAGAUCCGAGAGGGAAUCAUGUCAGCUCCAAGAAGCCAAUAGUCUGUGGCUGUCAGUGUCUGAAAUGGAGCUGCUUCAAAGCCGACUGGGCUGUGACCUGAACACUGCAUCCCUGCGCCCAGUGAGAAGAGGAUCAAUGACUGUGUUUGCUGGGCUCUAGUCUUCCCCUUGGCUAAUGAAAGCUGUGCUGAAAGGAAUGCUAUGGGGCCUCUGGGCAGCCUGCAGCCUGGCACUAGCGGAGCUUGGCUGGUGAAUGCACCCGGCACCAAAGCCUCCCUCACCCUCACCCACCCUCUUCCCUGUUCUAUUCCACCAACUCCCCUCUGGCUGUCUGUUUAGUGUCACUCAGUUGGGAUGGAUCCCGUUAAAGAUCUGACGCUUAGUGAGGACUCGGAGGUGUCUGCAACGUCUGUCUCUAA